GUCCAUAUACAUCUUAGGGCGGUGAGC
rnacentral:piRNA from 1 species